rnacentral:lncRNA from 1 species
GGACAAGUGUUGGACAGCCGGAGUCAGUCUCCAUGGAGAUUAUCUUUGAUAACAGAUUUCUUCUGGGGAAUAGCUGAGUUUGUGGUUUUGUUUUUCAAAACUCUGCUUCAGCAAGAUGUGAAAAAAAGAAGAAGCUAUGGAAACUCAUCUGAUUCCAGAUAUGAUGAUGGAAGAGGGCCACCAGGAAACCCUCCCCGAAGAAUGGGUAGAAUCAAUCAUCUGCGUGGCCCUAGUCCCCCUCCAAUGGCUGGUGGAUGAGGAAGGUAAAUGUCUGCUCUAAGAAGCAGACAACCGGACAUGCGCAUUCAUAGCAGAAGGAAACCAUCAAGAAGUGGAAGGCUGACCAUGAUGAGCAGUAGAUGAAUGUGUAUGUCUAAACAAGGACUGCUCUGUGUCCUCACAGAUGAAUGAGGUCAUGCUGGGAAUUCCCUCUGCAGGGAACUGGCCUGACUGACAUGCAGUUCCAUAAAUGCAGAUGUUUGUCUCAUUACCUUUUUGUAUAGUUUAUUAAAGUAUUAAUAUAGUUUUAAUAAGUAAAUAUUUUUAGGUUGCAGAAUGGACUCCUCAUCUUUAUAUUCACGAAAAAGCAAUCUG